AUGUAUCCGAUGGUGAUUGUAGUUAUAUUAACUUAUUAUUAGGCGUUUAUGUUACUGCUUGUAAAAACUGCGUGCUACCAAAAUCAGAAAAAGACAUUGGUGCCACUGGAAAGGAAGGAAAUGUACGUGGCAAAACUGCUUAUGCCGCCUCUCCCUUCUCAAGUGACUUAGGACUAGGCCUGUGGCUCCAGUUUUCCUUCCUAACAAGAUGAACACUAACGGUUGAAGGUUUAUGACGCAUGUUCCAGGGUUACACCGCUGAUCUGACGGAAGAGAUAUGACUCCAAAAAGAAAACGACAUUACAUUUUGUGGCAAGCGGAACUUACAUCGCAGCGAGAGCCCAUCUGCCGACUAUAACUUUGGAAAAGUUACAUCCUCUCGAUGGUCCCUUCUGCAACCAGCCAUGGUUUAGUCCUGCCAGCUACGUGCCAUACUAUAGAAGAUUUACCAUUUACGAUGAGACGUCUGGGAUAAAAGAUCUCUGCUAUGCGAUGAGACGUCUGAGAAAUUUCAUCAUACAAGUAAUGAAAACGUGUUAAGAUGCUUAAUCGACCGCCGUACAGCUCUGAUUUAGUGGCUUUCACCGUGACUGACACAAGACAACUACAGACUUUGGACUUGGCUCACCACCAAAGAUACUAUAGAGUACACAAAGGUACUUGACUGGAAUUUUUUCGCAUAAGAGCUUGUGUACCACGAAAGCCACCAAACGGUUGUCAAUAAGGAUGAGGCAGUGACGUCACUACUGUAAAAAAAACCGCGUCGUCUGCGAAAUAUUUCCCAUUGUAGUUCUUUAUUUUUGGACUUGUAUUAGAAAAGAUAGCAAUGUGCACAUUAAUCAGAAUGUCAUGAUAAAGUGCAAAUAAUAGAAAUAUGUCUUCUAUUUAAAUAUGUACUUUGUACAUAACUUGAAUAUGUACAGUACUGUACAUUCUUCUAAAAAUGUAUAUAUAAAGAAACUACUAAUUACAAAUUCAUGUGAUAUAUACAUACUUGUAUUCAUAUUGUAUAUUAUCAUAUAAUCCACGUAAAAAGGCAAGUGAAAAACGGGACUUGGAACAAGUAUUUUCGAAGUAUAUUUUACAUUUUCAACAUUGUUCCAAGUCCCGUUUUUCACCCGCCUUCGUACGUGGAUUUUAUAUUCUCAAGCACUACG